rnacentral:lncRNA from 1 species
CAUAAGUUAUUUUCGAAAAUGGUAGUUUUUGUUUUUGGCAAAUUUGAAUAAAUGACGGACCACUGGGGUAUCAUCGUCGUAUUACACAUUUUAAAUAAUAUAUAGGAUUGACGGUAUCUAGGGAAUAAGCAUCGGCUAACUCUGUGCCAGCAGUCGAGGUAAUACAGAGGAUGCAAGCGUUAUCCGGAAUGAUUGGGCGUAAAGCGUCAGUAGGUGGCUUUUUAAGUCCGCCGUCAAAUCCCAGGGCUCAACUUUGGACAAGCGGUGGAAACUACCAAGCUGGAGUACGGUAAGGGCAGAGGGAAUUUCCGAUGGAGCGGUGAAAUGCGCAGAGAUCAGAAAGAACACCAACGGCGAAAGCACUCUGCUGGGCCGACACUGACACUGAGAGACGAAAGCUAGGGGAGCGAAUGGGAUUAGAUACCACAGUAGUCCUAGCCGUAAACGAUGGAUACUAGGCAUUCAUAAAUUUGUAAAUGUUUCUUAUAAAAACUGUAUCAUAUACACCAGUUGAAUAAUGAAAGAAAGGUUUAAUUUAUAAAAAUGUUUUAUAAACAAACAUAACUUUCUUU